GUGCUUGCNCNGAAUGAGGAUUUUANCACAGAAGUGAGUGGNGGNNGGGUGAGUAACACGUGGGUAACCUNCCCAGAAGCAGGGGAUAANACCCUGGAAACAGGAUGCUAAUACCGUAUAAACAGAGAAAACCGCCUGGUUUUCUUUUNAAAGAUGGNUNUGGCUAUCACUUCUGGAUGGACCCGCGGCGCNUUAAGCUAGUUGGUGAGGUAACGGCUCACCAAGGCGAUGAUGCGUAGCCGACCUUGAGAGGGUAAUNGGCCACAUUGGGACUGAGACACGGCCCCAGACUCCUACGGGAGGCAGCAGUAGGGAAUCUUCCACAAUGGACGCAAGUNUGAUGGAGCAACGCCGCGUGAGUGAAGAAGGGUUUCGGCUCGUAAAGCUCUGUUGUUAAAGAAGAACGUGGGUGAGAGUAACUGUUCACCCAGUGACGGUAUUUAACCAGAAAGCCACGGCUAACUACGUGCCAGCAGCCGCGGUAAUACGUAGGUGGCAAGCGUUAUCCGGAUUUAUUGGGCGUAAAGCGAGCGCAGGCGGUCUUUUAAGUCUAAUGUGAAAGCCUUCGGCUCAACCGAAGAAGUGCAUUGGAAACUGGGAGACUUGAGUGCAGAAGAGGACAGUGGAACUCCAUGUGUAGCGGUGAAAUGCGUAGAUAUAUGGAAGAACACCAGUGGCGAAGGCGGCUGUCUGGUCUGUAACUGACGCUGAGGCUCGAAAGCAUGGGUAGCGAACAGGAUUAGAUACCCUGGUAGUCCAUGCCGUAAACGAUGAUUACUAAGUGUUGGAGGGUUUCCGCCCUUCAGUGCUGCAGCUAACGCAUUAAGUAAUCCGCCUGGGGAGUACGACCGCAAGGUUGAAACUCAAAAGAAUUGACGGGGGCCCGCACAAGCGGUGGAGCAUGUGGUUUAAUUCGAAGCUACGCGAAGAACCUUACCAGGUCUUGACAUCUUCUGCCAACCUAAGAGAUUAGGCGUUCCCUUCGGGGACAGAAUGACAGGUGGUGCAUGGUUGUCGUCAGCUCGUGUCNUGAGAUGUUGGGUUAAGUCCCGCAACGAGCGCAACCCUUAUUACUAGUUGCCAGCAUUCANUUGGGCACUCUAGUGAGACUGCCGGUGACAAACCGGAGGAAGGUGGGGACGACGUCAAAUCAUCAUGCCCCUUAUGACCUGGGCUACCACACGUGCUACAAUGGAUGGUACAACGAGUCGCGAAACCNCGAGGUUUAGCUAAUCUCUUAAAACCNUUCUCAGUUCGGACUGUAGGCUGCAACUCGCCUACACGAAGUCGGAAUCNCUUNGUAAUCGCGGAUCAGCAUGCCGCGGUGAAUACNUUCCCGGGCCUUNUAACACNCCNCCCGUCACACCAUGAGANUUUNUAACACCCAAAGCC
rnacentral:rRNA from 1 species